GUUGGUUCCAUGGACACAAUAAACCUGGGCAUGCAUUAUGUGCUCAUCUCCUUAUUUUUUCUUGAUUUGUUUUUAGAAUAUUAAAAUUUUCUUCAGUAUAUAAAAAUUUUCUUAACCAUCUCUCCCUUGAGGAAAAGCUCGUGUUGGUACGAGAGAUAAGAGAGCCUGUGUCUCUACUGUUCCUGCUCUCGUCCGAUCUCGCUCCAGUUGCGAACAAUUCGAACGAAGAUCGCUCUAGCGUUUUGUUCACUUCCUUCAUUCUUACCUGGAUCUCUAGGGUUCGCCCACUGUCUGGAUCUUCAUCUAUAAAAAAUGCCUCUGAGACUCGAAAUCAAGAGAAAACUCGCUCAAAGAUCAGAAAGAGUAAAAUCCGUUGAUCUACAUCCAACGGAACCAUGGAUUUUAGUGAGUUUGUAUUCAGGGACUCUCUGUAUUUGGGACUAUCAGUCACAGGUUAUGGUAAAGUCUUUUGAGGUGACUGAGUUACCAGUUAGGUCUGCAAAGUUUAUUGCACGUAAACAGUGGGUUGUUGCUGGAGCCGAUGACAUGUUCGUCCGUGUAUACAACUACAAUACAAUGGAUAAGAUUAAAGUAUUUGAGGCGCACACAGAUUAUAUUAGGUGUGUGGCUGUCCAUCCUACCCUUCCAUAUGUGCUGUCAUCAUCUGAUGACAUGCUUAUAAAGCUCUGGGACUGGGACAAGGGUUGGGUGUGUACUCAGAUUUUUGAGGGACACUCACAUUAUGUGAUGCAAGUUACGUUUAAUCCGAAAGACACUAACACUUUCGCGAGUGCGUCUCUGGAUCGCACUAUAAAGAUUUGGAAUCUUGGCUCGCCUGACCCAAAUUUUACGCUGGAUGCCCAUUUGAAAGGGGUAAAUUGUGUUGAUUAUUUCACGGGUGGGGAUAAACCUUAUCUGAUCACUGGUUCCGAUGAUCAUACAGCGAAGGUUUGGGACUAUCAAACCAAAAGUUGUGUCCAGACUCUAGAAGGUCAUACACACAAUGUUUCUGCAGUAUGUUUUCACCCUGAACUUCCAAUAAUAAUGACUGGUUCCGAAGAUGGGACUGUUCGUAUAUGGCAUGCAACCACUUACAGGCUUGAGAACACAUUGAAUUAUGGCCUUGAAAGAGUUUGGGCUGUUGGAUGCAUCAAAGGCUCACGCCGGGUUGUAAUUGGGUAUGAUGAAGGAACUAUUAUGGUAAAAAUAGGCCGAGAAGAACCUGUAGCUAGCAUGGACAACAGUGGAAAAAUUAUAUGGGCUAGGCAUAAUGAAAUUCAGACUGUGAAUAUUAAGAGUGUGGGAGCUGAUUUUGAGGUUACUGAUGGAGAGAGAUUACCUUUGGCCGUUAAGGAAUUAGGAACUUGCGAUCUUUACCCUCAAAGUUUAAAGCAUAAUCCCAAUGGGAGGUUCGUUGUUGUUUGUGGAGAUGGUGAAUACAUAAUCUAUACUGCUUUGGCAUGGAGAAAUAGAUCGUUUGGUUCGGCAUUGGAAUUUGCUUGGUCGUCAGAUGGAGAAUAUGCUGUUAGAGAAAAUACAUCAAAGAUCAAAAUCUUCAGUAAAAAUUUCCAGGAAAAGAAGAGUAUCCGGCCAACAUUUACCGCUGAACGCAUUUAUGGGGGAACUUUAUUAGCAAUGUGCUCAAAUGAUUUUAUUUGUUUUUAUGAUUGGGCCGAGUGCCGGUUGAUUCGGAGAAUUGAUGUUAAUGUGAAGAAUCUCUACUGGGCUGAUAGUGGUGAUUUAGUGGCAAUUGCCAGCAAUGCAUCUUUUUACAUCUUGAAGUACAAUCGCGAUGUAGUAUCUUCUUAUUUUGACAGUGGGAGGCCAACAGAUGAACAGGGAGUGGAGGAUGCUUUUGAGCUUCUCCAUGAGACCAAUGAACGAGUGAGGACUGGAAUAUGGGUUGGGGAUUGUUUUAUUUACAAUAACUCCUCUUGGCGGCUUAAUUAUUGUGUUGGUGGUGAGGUAACCACGAUGUUCCAUUUGGACCGGCCUAUGUACCUGCUGGGAUAUCUUGCUAGUCAAAGUCGGGUGUAUCUUAUGGACAAAGAGUUCAAUGUUAUGGGGUACACCUUACUUCUCAGCUUGAUUGAGUACAAGACUCUGGUGAUGCGUGGAGACUUGGAACGUGCUAGUGAAGUUUUACCGUCAAUUCCUAAGGAACAUCAUAAUAGUGUGGCUCGCUUCCUUGAAUCAAGAGGCAUGAUAGAAGAUGCUUUGGAGGUGGCUACAGAUCCUGAUUAUAGAUUUGAAUUAGCCAUACAGCUUGGUAGACUGGAGAUUGCAAAGGAAAUUGCCACAGAAGUGCAGAGUGAAUCCAAAUGGAAGCAACUGGGGGAAUUAGCUAUGUCAACAGGAAAGUUGGAAAUGGCAGAGGACUGUCUAAAGCAUGCAAUGGACUUGAGUGGUUUGUUAUUGCUUUACUCUUCAUUGGGAGAUGCAGAAGGGAUAUCAAAACUUGCAUUCCUGGCUAAAGAGCAGGGAAAGAACAAUGUUGCAUUCCUUAGUUUAUUCAUGUUGGGCAAAUUGGAAGAGUGCAUCCAGCUGUUGAUUGACUGCAAUCGGAUACCUGAGGCUGCUUUGAUGGCGCGGUCUUAUCUUCCAAGCAAGGUCUCAGAUAUAGUUGCAAUUUGGAGGAAAGACCUCAAUAAGGUUAAUCAAAAAGCUGCAGAAUCUUUGGCCGAUCCCGAGGAGUAUCCUAAUUUAUUUGAGGAUUGGCAAGUUGCUCAAUCCAUUGAAUCCAAGGUUGCAGAGACAAGGUGUACUUAUCCUCCUGCAGAGGAAUACCCUAAGCAUGCUGAGAAAUCAAAUUUAAACCUUGUGGAGGCUUUCAGAAGCAUGCAAAUUGAUGAAGAGGAACCACUUGAAAAUGGAGAUUCAAACCAUGAGGAUCCAGACAACAACGGAGAAGAAGGGAGUCAAGAAGAGGCUGUUGUAGUUGAUGCUGAUUCUACAGAUGGUGCUGUACUUGUUAAUGGUAAUGAGGCUGAAGAAGAGUGGGGUACGAAUAAUGAAGGAAGUCCAUCGGCCUAAAAGCAAUUGGUUGGCCCAGUGUGAAAAUCCAAAUUUUGUAUCUGUUUUUAUGCCAUGACCCUAGGUGCUAUCAAGGCUGCUGGUUCCAGUUGUAUCAGUCCCUCCCUAGAGGUUUGCUGGAGGAGGCGGCCGGGAAGAGGAGUUUACAGGGACCCGUUGCCUGUGGCUGUGGCUGUGGCUGUGGCUGUGGGGUGGUUUUGUAUGGCAUUGAUUUUUUUUGUUUUCUUUCCUUUUUUGGGUCAUUAGGCAUAUUUUAUGGGACAGGUUUUCUUAUUUUCCUUUUUUUUUCUUUUGGGUUGCUCUUUUACUGCGGUUCUUAGCAUAUUCUUUUGAGUUCUUUUUUUAUUUUAUUUUAUUUCUUUUUAAAUCUUAUACCCAUGUAGAAUAAUUCUUUGCGGUGAUGAAAACCCAAAUAGCCCUUUUCCAAUAUUCAAAAAAUUAUGCAGCUGUUCAUCA